rnacentral:rRNA from 1 species
UACGAAGGGAGCUAGCGUUGUUCGGAAUCACUGGGCGUAAAGCGCACGUAGGCGGAUUUGUAAGUCAGGGGUGAAAUCCCGGGGCUCAACCUCGGAACUGCCUUUGAUACUGCAAAUCUCGAGUCCGAUAGAGGUGGGUGGAAUUCCUAGUGUAGAGGUGAAAUUCGUAGAUAUUAGGAAGAACACCAGUGGCGAAGGCGGCUCACUGGUCCGGUACUGACGCUGAGGUGCGAAAGCGUGGGGAGCAAACAGG